AGGACGUUUUGUGCCAAUUACCCUUUUUUUUCCAAAUGAUUUGAAAGUUUUCAACUCGUUCCAUUCAACAGAAGUGAGUUCCAGUCUUCUUUAUGUUGACCUAACUGCUUAUGUUCUUUAUAGGAUAAACCACUAUAAUAAAAACUCACAUUCCAUUGACUGGACUCUCUGUUCAUCAUUAGUUACCGAUGCAAUGACAUUUGAUGUUGUUGCACCAUCACCCUCGAAAAUCUUUGAUUGUUAGAAUGGUAUAAAUUAAGUUAAAGGUGUACCUUGCAAGAUGGUUGAAACGGUUUGUCUAGCGUGUCUAAUACUUGUUUAAUGUAGGUCUCCAGUUAUUCAAGGAGGCCAGAGAUAGGGAAUUUCAAUUAAAGGUUAGUAGUCAAAUGUUAAUACAAAAUUUGAAGUCUCUGAAACUUUCUCUUGUUAUUUUUUUCCUUAAUUUGUAGUGGGAUGAUCAUCCUGCAAUUAUGGCUGUUGGUGUCGUCGAUGGAAUAUCAGAGCCAUUUUCUAAAUUCUCAUGUCUCUUGGUACAUCAAGAUCAGAGGGUAUGAAGCAAAGAGAUCUUCUUUUGCAGUGCUAUUGGAGAAGGGAGGAUUUUGGAACAUAUGGCAAUAUUGUUAUCUCAAAUCAAACAGUCAAUUCACCAAAUGGUCUACUCAAUUGGAAGAUAACUUUCUUUUUUUUUUAACUUGCAAUGAUUCUGCACCAUUCUGUGUUCCACCAAAAGUGUCCACCUUGAAAAGGCUAUGUCCGUGCCUGCCUAAAAAGUAACGAAUGCUAAACAUAUGGUACUAGUGGAAAAUUGUUAUAUCUUUUUCACCCUUGGAUAUACAAGGUUUUGUUGGGCUUCACUGGUAGCUUGUGUUUUACUUGCAUGGAUACUCAAGUACUUGUGUCUUACAAAUUGACAUCUCACAUGCUUAUGAGCUUUAAUCAUUCAAUGUUUAUUUUACUGGACUUGUGUUACAGGCUCAGUUACUCUAUAAUUGAACUUGUUUGACUGAUGAGAUGACAUUUUGCACUCAUCACAGGUGGUGGCUAUGUGAUUUCUCCAUCAAAUCAAGUGAAACGAUCAGUAGUGAGGCACAUGCUUGCUAUUGACUGGAAAUUCUGGAAAUCAUAUAUGCAGACAUCAUCAGCCUGAUCUGUAACAGUUUGUAUGUUAGAAGGCUAGUCGGCCUUGCGGGAAUUGUUCACAGCAAAAUCAGAUUUCUUAUCAUCUGAUUUCUCAUCGGUGAGCUAAUGAGAGAGUAGCUUGUUACAAAGUAAACAAGAAUUGAAGGUUGAAGGCCAAAAUAAGCUGGAAAAUAUUAAAGCAAAAGGCACAUUAAUGGAAAUGGUUGUCGCUGACUGGUAGAGAUCUGACAAGCGAGAAGAUGAUCUUGGUGACCACCCUGGGGGCAUAGAUCAUGGUUCAUGUAGUGAUCAAUGACUGAAAAGAAGCUGCUAUGUCUAAUAUGUAGAAAUAUGCAGCAAAGGGAGACACAGAAUUCCUUUACUGUGAACAUACAGGUUCCAGGUUCAACAACAUAUAGCCUUACUUUAUACUAUAUGAUGAGUACUCCUAUUGAAGAUUCUCCCUUGCUAGAGAGUUUUGUCAAAGGGGAUGAUGCUUAUCUAAGGUCAAUGCAGUUAAUGUUGCAUGCUAUUGCAUUGAACUCAUUGGUUAGUUUUUCUUUUCAUUUGUCUGCUCAUUAUAAUUUGCAGUUGAGUGUUCACUCAAUUUUCUCUUGCUUUUGGACCAGUCUUUCAUAACUUAUAUUUUCCUUAUUUUCUCUUGUUUUGCUUUUCAAUAUGUCACUGAUUAUUUGAACCAUGGAAUUCUAGUUUUUAUAAUUCUUCUUUAUGACAAAAUUGAGGUGUAUCUCCUAAUCACUAUUCUCUUGUUCGAAUACUCAUUAACUAUUCACUUGGCCUUCAUUUGGUUUAAGUAAAAUGUAGACACACUUAUUGAGUUUGGGGUUUGUCAUUUAUUGGUGCUAUCACAAAUUUAUUACCAAUAUGAAGGAUCAUUGGAGAUGAGUUGAACUUUGAUAAAGAUGUGGAACAGUUGUAUUAUUAAUCAUAUCUAACUUACUGUUACCCUGGACUUCCAUUUCUGUGUGGAAAAGAAAUGGGAAAUUAGCUUAGAGUUUUCCUUCGACCUCUCAGUGCAGGAUGUCAUCGCCUCUUUAUUAUCAGUAUUGUGUGUAAUUGGAUGCCAUCAAGCUUUAAUCUGCACUGAAGUGUGCUGUCUUACUUCUCUUGGUUGGUAUUGAACAUCAGUCUUGAUGAUUCUUCCCCUAGUGAAAUUUAAGAAAUCCCCAGUCUAUCAUUUAUUGUGCUAAGAAUAUUUUUAUUGUGUGAUUGAAUUCAAGGCUGAAGUUAGGAUAACUCAAAUGGUGUUGCUGAAACCUACAUGAGCUGCUGCAAUAUAUGCUUUUACAGGAUUUGUUUAACAAUUGGAUUUGCUUGAUCUGAAUUCCUCGAGUUUUAGAUCUUUUCUACAUGGUGGUGUGGCCGUCUGACAAUGUCCAAUCAAUUAUGAAGGCUAGCUUUUUGCAACCAAGUUACUGACAAAACCAAGUAGAAUUUGUUCAAUCUGAGCCUGUAACGUGUUAUACUGGAUUGUUUGCCCAUACCAUUGUGAAAUUAUUUUGUGUAUUUGGUAUGAUCAAUUGAGAAAUAUGGUUCUUUUGAAUGUGAUAUGUAAAUCCGUGGACAAUGUAGACAAAUAUUAUGUGAAGUUGCCACUUGAAAAUUUA